GCCCAGAUAGCUCAGUUGGUAGAGCACAUCCUUGGUAAGGAUGAGGUCACGAGUUCGAAUCUCGUUCUGGGCU
rnacentral:tRNA from 1 species